rnacentral:rRNA from 1 species
AAUAGAUACCCCGGUAGUCCAUGCCGUAAACGUUGGGCGCUAGGUGUGGGGCUCUUUCCACGAGUUCCGUGCCGCAGCAAACGCAUUAAGCGCCCCGCCUGGGGAGUACGGCCGCAAGGCUAAAACUCAAAGGAAUUGACGGGGGCCCGCACAAGCGGCGGAGCAUGCGGAUUAAUUCGAUGCGACGCGAAGAACCUUACCAAGGCUUGACAUGGGGCGAAAACUGUUAGAGAUAGCAGGUCCGCAAGGGCGCCUCACAGGUGGUGCAUGGUUGUCGUCAGCUCGUGUCGUGAGAUGUUGGGUUAAGUCCCGCAACGAGCGCAACCCUCGUUCUAUGUUGCCAGCACGUUAUGGUGGGGACUCAUAGGAGACUGCCGGGGUCAACUCGGAGGAAAAUGGGGAUGACGUCAAAUCAUCAUGCCCCUUAUGUCUUGGGCUUCACGCAUGCUACAAUGGCCAGUACAAAGGGCUGCGAGACCGUAAGGUGGAGCGAAUCCCAAAAAGCUGGUCUCAGUUCGGAUCGGGGU